UCCCGAUUGUCUCGGGCAGUCUCGUAUGAAAAAUACAACAUACGAUAAGGGUUGCGCUCGUUGCGGGACUUAACCCAACAUCUCACGACACGAGCUGACGACGGCCAUGCAGCAUCUGUCACCAGGUUCCCGGAGGCACUCCACUGUUUCUAGCGGAUCCCUGGGAUGUCAAACCUGGGUAAGGUUCUACGCGUAGCCUCGAAUUAAACCACAUCAUCCUCUGCUUGUGCGGGUCCCCGUCAAUUCCUUUGAGUUUUAAGCUUGCGCUCGUACUCCCCAGGCGGCUUACUUAUCGCAUUAGCUUCACAGCACAGGGGGUCGAUACCCCAUACUAUUAGUAAGCAUCGUUUACGGCGUGGACUAC
rnacentral:misc_RNA from 1 species